rnacentral:lncRNA from 1 species
AUUCUACAAGAGUUCUGAUAUUUGCCCCGGAUCAAACCCCGAAACUAAACAAAACGGCGUCGUUUUGUUUUUUAUUUUUUAUUUUUUGGUUUCUCGAAAACGCUGCCGUUUCACUUAUCAUUUCCAAAACCUGUGAACGAGAUAGAUAGAAUCCAGCCAUUCGUUUCUUCUUUUCUUCGUUUCUUCCUUACCAAAAAAUUCGUUACUUUCCUUCCUCGACUGAGGUCCAGCCAUUCGGGAUCUACAACAGAACGCUUCAUCCUCUUCGUCUUAAGCUGAAGAAAGUGAUUAACAAAGAACACACCCAUUUAGUGAAGAAAGUGAUUAACAGUAGCUGCAAAAUUUGUCCUUGAAAGCUGAGUUUCGACGGAACAAGACCAACAGCAGCUGCGAAGUUUCGACAUAACAAGAUUAACAUUGUCCCUGAAAGCUUGAAUUUUCGAAGCUUGAAUUUAUUUUUGAGAUGUUGAUAUGUAAUGGGUCAUUUUGGAAAUCUUAUGUAAUGUACUGAAUUUUUCUUUAGCCGUUUAGAUUGUGCCUUCCAGAUGCUUGUGAAAAUGUAUGUUGAAUGUUAGAAGUCCUGCUUUAGAAAAUUUGAAUUAUUGGGCACUUUCAUUUGCUUAAACAAGUACUUUAUGAGCUCUCUCAUCGUUGAAACAAAUUUUGCAUAUAAAUAGCUUGGAAAAAAAAGAAAAAAACUUCCAAUAUAGUGGAUCAAGCUAAUGAAGCGUUGUCUUCAUUUUCUUGAUGCUCCAAGAGUAACUGCAAGAAGUCAUCAUUACUUCCUUCAGUAUUGUUCCCUGCUGCUGCUUCUUCACCAUUAACAACAAACUUCGUUUCUACACUUUCAACAGUAGAACUUAUAAUAUAUUAAUGCUGCGUUUACUUUUUGGAUUGAAGUGGGAAUCCUGAGGAGUGGGAAUCAUUGGAUUAGGAGUGUGGAGUAAGAGUGGGAAUAAGGUGUUUACUUAGACUAAAUGAAAGUAUGGAUUGUCAAUCAGAAUCCCAAUUAUUUGUUUACUUUGUCUUAGAUUGAGAGUAAAUUGUUUUAAAUUACAAUUUUAUCCUUAUGUACAGAAUCAUAAUUUGUAAUUAAAAAAUUAAUAAA